rnacentral:rRNA from 1 species
ACGGGUACUUGUACCUGGUGGCGAGCGGCGGACGGGUGAGUAAUGCCUAGGAAUCUGCCUAGUAGUGGGGGAUAACGUCCGGAAACGGGCGCUAAUACCGCAUACGUCCUACGGGAGAAAGUGGGGGAUCUUCGGACCUCACGCUAUUAGAUGAGCCUAGGUCGGAUUAUCUAGUUGGUGAGGUAAUGGCUCACCAAGGCGACGAUCCGUAACUGGUCUGAGAGGAUGAUCAGUCACACUGGAACUGAGACACGGUCCAGACUCCUACGGGAGGCAGCAGUGGGGAAUAUUGGACAAUGGGCGAAAGCCUGAUCCAGCCAUGCCGCGUGUGUGAAGAAGGUCUUCGGAUUGUAAAGCACUUUAAGUUGGGAGGAAGGGCAGUUACCUAAUACGUGAUUGUUUUGACGUUACCGACAGAAUAAGCACCGGCUAACUCUGUGCCAGCAGCCGCGGUAAUACAGAGGGUGCAAGCGUUAAUCGGAAUUACUGGGCGUAAAGCGCGCGUAGGUGGUUUGUUAAGUUGGAUGUGAAAGCCCCGGGCUCAACCUGGGAACUGCAUCCAAAACUGGCAAGCUAUAGUAUGGUAGAGGGUGGUGGAAUUUCCUGUGUGGCGCUGAAAUGCGUAUAAAUAGGAAGGAACACCGGUGGCCAAGGGGACCACCUGGGCUGAUACUGCCACUGAUGUGCGAAAGAGGGGGGA